AGCGAACGCUGGCGGCAGGCCUAACACAUGCAAGUCGAACGAACCCUUCGGGGUUAGUGGCGGACGGGUGAGUAACACGUGGGAACGUGCCUUUAGGUUCGGAAUAACUCAGGGAAACUUGUGCUAAUACCGAAUGUGCCCUUCGGGGGAAAGAGUUAUCGCCUUUAGAGCGGCCCGCGUCUGAUUAGCUAGUUGGUGAGGUAACGGCUCACCAAGGCGACGAUCAGUAGCUGGUCUGAGAGGAUGACCAGCCACACUGGGACUGAGCCACAGCCCAGAAUCCUAGGGGAGGGAGCAGUGGGGAAUCUUGCGCAAUGGGCGAAAGCCUGACGCAGCCAGGCCGCGUGAAUGAUGAAGGUCUUAGGAUUGUAAAAUUCUUUCACCGGGGACGAUAAUGACGGUACCCGGAGAAGAAGCCCCGGCUAACUUCGUGCCAGCCGCCGCAGUAACAC
rnacentral:rRNA from 1 species